rnacentral:rRNA from 1 species
GAUGAACGCUGGCGGCGUGCCUAAUACAUGCAAGUCGAGCGAACAGACGAGGAGCUUGCUCCUCUGACGUUAGCGGCGGACGGGUGAGUAACACGUGGAUAACCUACCUAUAAGACUGGGAUAACUUCGGGAAACCGGAGCUAAUACCGGAUAAUAUAUUGAACCGCAUGGUUCAAUAGUGAAAGACGGUUUUGCUGUCACUUAUAGAUGGAUCCGCGCCGCAUUAGCUAGUUGGUAAGGUAACGGCUUACCAAGGCGACGAUGCGUAGCCGACCUGAGAGGGUGAUCGGCCACACUGGAACUGAGACACGGUCCAGACUCCUACGGGAGGCAGCAGUAGGGAAUCUUCCGCAAUGGGCGAAAGCCUGACGGAGCAACGCCGCGUGAGUGAUGAAGGUCUUCGGAUCGUAAAACUCUGUUAUUAGGGAAGAACAAAUGUGUAAGUAACGAUGCACGUCUUGACGGGACCUAAUCAGAAAGCCACGGCGAACUACGU